UGUCAGAGCAUCAAGGAGGAGUUCCACAGGAUUGCAGGUGAAUGAUGUAGAGAUCUGUUAAAUUCAUUUUAAAUCAUAUUCUGUUAAUGACAUUGUGCUGCAGCCUCAGACUGGGAUUAGUCAUUUGAAUUUCUUUUUGUAUUUCCCAGUGUGAUUGGCUGCAUAGAUGCACACACAUCCCCAUCACAGCUCCCUCACAUCAUGAACAGGAAGUCCAUUCACAGCAUAAAUGUGCAGAUCAGAUGUGAUGCUGCAUACAUCAUUUCUAAUGUGGAGGCCAAGUGGUCUGGGUCUGUUCAUGACUCCAGGAUUUAUGGAGAGUCUAACCUGAGCAACAGACUGCAGCGUGGUCAGCAGCAUAAAGAUUUUCACAAUAGAAUUCUCUUGUCUCCCUCCUUUAAUAUACUCUGAUGUAUCCACUAUACAUUACAGGAGAGUUUGAUGGCCUUCUGCUGGGUGACAGGGGUUACCAUGCCAACCCAGGCUGAUGACCUCAUACCCUGACCCUGAACCAGGCCCCCAACAGAACUUCAACCGGACUCACUGCAGGACCAGAGCCCGGGUGGAGAUGACCAUAGUCCUGCUGAAAGCCCGUUUCCAGAGCCUACAUCUCCUCAGGGUGACCCCUGAGAGGGCCUGUGAUAUUACUGUGGCAUGUGUUGUUCUUCAUAAUAUUACCACUAUUAGAGGAGAGCAACACCCUGCCCUACAAACUGAAGACCCAGAUGAUGAGCCCAUCCACCUGCAGCUAUCCAGGACAGCAGAGCAGUCAGAGACACCGUAUGCAAUAAUCACUUUAGAGUUUAAGUCUCCAUCAUCACCACCACAGCAAAUAAAGACAUGAUACACAUUU